CUUCCCCUACCUCACUCUCCUUGUUAUGCCUGUGUUGAUAGAUGUAUAUCUCAAUAGAGACACAGUCAUAUAUAUAUGACAUAUAUAUAUAUCAUACAUAUGUCACAGUCAUAUAGACAAAUUAAAAUAUAUAUACUACAUAUAUUAUAUAUCCUAUAUAUAUUAUGUGUGUGUUUUUGUAUAUGCCUCUCUAUAUAGUUAACUUAAACAUUUAACAGCUGGCUGGGUGCAGUUGCUCUCGCCUGUAAUCCCAGCACUUUGGGAGGCUGAGUUGGGCAGAUCACCUGAGGUCAGGAGUUAAGACCAGCCCUGCCAACAUGGCGAAACCCCAUCUCUACUUAAAAAAAAAAAAAAAAAAAAAUUUGCCUGGCCUGGUGGUGCAUGCCUGUAAUCCUAGCUACUUGGGAGGCUGUGGGAGGAGAAUCACUUGAACCUGGGAAGCAGAGGUUGCAGUGAGCUGAGAUUGUGCCACUGCACUCCAGUCUGGGCAACAGAGCAAGACUCUGUCUCAAAAAAAAAAAAUUUAACAGCUAUAUGGAAGUAUAAUUUACCUACCAUAACAUACACCUGUUUUAAGUGCAAAUUCAAAGAUUAUUAGUAAAUUUACAGAGUUGUUCACACAUCACCAUAAUCUAGCUUCAGUCCAUUUCUGCCAUCCCACCCCAAAAAGACCACUCAUGCCUAUUUUCAGGCAAUUCCCACUUCUGCCUGUAGACCCAGAUGGUUAUUCUUGACACUCACUUGAUAUUUGAGAAAUGAUGCUUUUACUGUCAUUUAUUUUGUCAUAGACUGGCCUGAGUCCUUGGUACUGUCCCAAUCACCAGCUGAUCUGGUAUACCUGGACUGUCAGCUUGCUCCAAAAAGCAGUCUCACUGUGUUGUAGUAACACCUUACAACUGCCUUGGCCCCAGAGCCCUUGCCUCUGGGCCCCUCUGAGGUGCCUCCCAAGCACCACGGUCAUCUCUGGAUCCUUGGCCAUGUGUGUGACGUGUCAGUUUGCAUCAUUUAUCUUGAAAUGGAGCCCCCGCCCUUGGGCUUAUAUCAAUAGCCUCAGGGCCUCACUGAACAGGGCAUUCUUUCAGACCCUUUGAAAGAACAGGUGAGUCUCCUUGAUCUGUGAGUCUUGUAUCAUUCCAGAAUUUCUUUGAUCCUCAAAGCAGCUCUUAGGCCCGCCAGCUGGGAGGUUGAUGGGCAGAUGCUGGGGCCCUGAUACCUUCCCAGGAAAACUUCAAGGCUGGGACUCUAAGGAAAAAGGGCCGCUUCCAAGCUGUAGGUUCAUUGUACCAACAUCAGCAGGGUUAUAGCACUGAUAAAACAAUAACAAUAGUGGCCUCUAGCCUGUGAGGGCGUCGCAGUGCAGCCCUUGCUACAGCUCCAGGCCCACCAAGCAGUCUCUCAGAUGACCACAAGCCUGCACAGCAUUAGUAAGAGAUGCAUCACAAGCUGGGCACGGGGGCUUACUCCUGUAAUCCCAGCACUUUGGGAGGCCGAGGUGGGUGGAUCAUCUGAGGUCAGGGGUUCGAGACCAGCCUGACCAAUAUGGAGAAAUCCUGUCUCUACUAAAAAUGUAAAAUUAGCUGGGCGUGGUGGCUCAUGCCUUUAAUCCCAGCUACUCAGGAGGUUGAGGCAGGAGAAUCGCUUGAACCAGGGAGGCGGAGGUUGUGGUGAGCCGAGAUCACACCACUGCACUCCAGCCUGGGCAACAAGAGUGACACUCUGUCUCAAAAAAAAAAAAAAAAGAGAUACAUCGCUAGUAGGGGAUUUUUCUUCCUCCUCCUCCCCUUUCUCUUCUCCUCUUGAAAGGGUCUUGAGACAGGUAACAUAUUAAUACAUCAAAGUUAAGCCACAGGAAACAGCCAGCCUUUCUAACUGAAGACCUGUGUGUUUAGCAGAUGGCCCCACAUGGAAAGUACCCGCCUAAAGUUGACUUCAGUGGUGGAAACCUCAGGGUGGGAAUGGGGUUGAUAGGAGCAGGAUGAGGCAGUCUCCUGGAAGUAGAGAAGAGAGGAGGCUGGCGGCAGAAGGGACACCCAAGUGCCCACUGGAGAAAAAUUUCAUACUGAUGAUUUGAUGGGAAAGAAUAAAGCCAGGUAGGUCUCACGUGUUCAUCCUGUGCACAGGUGGGAUGGGCUUGAAAUCUAAUUU
rnacentral:lncRNA from 1 species